GGGAAGGUGCCACAAGCACAGUGAAGCAACCAUUAAGGGUAACUUGUGAUCUUCAUCACAAGUUUGGUGAGUUUUCUUAUAAUUUUUUUAGUUUAGUUUUUAUUUAUUUUUUUUUUUAUUCUCUUUUCUUUUAUUUUUGUUUUAAUUUCAAUUUGUGCAUUCCUUGUUGGAUUCGAGACCAAGAGGGAAUCCUGGUACAAGUUGAAGAAAAGAGCCUUAGUUGAAUAUCAUUUUUUUU
rnacentral:lncRNA from 1 species